AUGAAUAUCUUGGCCUGAAACUGUCGAGGACUGGGGUUGGACUCGACGGUUGGCGAACUGAGAGACCUGAUACGGUCCUACAACCCAGCGGUGGUAUUCUUAUGCGAGACAAAAAAGAAAGGCAGGGCGAUGGAGAAGCUUAAGUGGAGUUUGGGGUUCCGAAACGGAGUGGCAGUGGAUAGUUUUGGGCAGAGUGGUGGAUUAGCUAUGUGG
rnacentral:rRNA from 1 species